rnacentral:sRNA from 2 species
AUCGCCCGCAUCGGGGAGUAGCGACCGCAUCAUCUGAUGUGGGGGCAUGUCAACAUAUUCGCGCGGGAGACGCGCGUGGCAUGUCCGGCAAUGAGGCUUUGCGAGACCGUGGCGAAGGGACCCUGCGGGCGGGGUCCGUCUAUCGCCCGGAUCUGCCCUUAUGGAAUUUCAAAUGACACCUGUAGCUGUCGGCGUUUUGGCCGUCUCGAUGUCCGUUGAU